rnacentral:rRNA from 1 species
UUAAUAUUAGUUAUGAAAUAUAUUUCAAGAAAUUUUAUAUCUAGUUUUUUAAGAGUAAAAGUUUAGUUAAUAAUUUUUAUAAAAAUUAAUAUGGUUUAGCUUAUUAAUUUUAUAUACUUAUAGAAUUUUUUUAACCUUGGUAAAUUUGAUAGUGUUUAUUUUAUAGAUUUAUAAUGGAGGGUAAUAUGAAUAAAAAUUUUUAUUUGUUAUUUUUUUAUUAAAAAAUUUAUUUAAAUUUUAAAGUUUUAUUUAUAAUGAAAAAAUUAGUAAAAAUUUAUUUAUAUUAAAAAAUAAUUAAUAAAUUAUAAGUGUUAUAAUUAUUAUAAAAAAUGAAUUCGGCAAAAAGUAUUAUUUGACUGUUUAGCAAAAACAUUGUUUCAUGAAGAAUAUAUGAAAUAAUGUCUGUCCACUGAUAUAUUUGAAGGACUGCAGUAUAUUGACUGUAUAAAAGUAGCAUAAUCAUUAGCUUUUUAUUUUGGGGUUGGUAUGAAGGCGAAACGGAUAAGUUCUUUAUUUUUUAUAAGUGUUUAAAGUUUAUUUUUAAGUGAAAAAUCUUAAUUAGAUGAGAGGGACAAGAAGACCCUACUAAGUUUUAUUUUUCUUUUAUUUAUGUCAUAGGAAAAUGUAAUUAUGAUAAUAUUACAUUAGAAAUUUGGUUGGGGCGAUUAGUUAUAAAACAUAAUUUAUUUAUAAUUUUU